rnacentral:misc_RNA from 1 species
CCAAACUUGGUCAUUUAGAGGAAGUAAAAGUCGUAACAAGGUUUCCGUAGGUGAACCUGCGGAAGGAUCAUUGCAAAUCAACUGGGGGGUGGGGUGAUGGAUGGGUGGUGUUUGGUCUUGAUCAUUCACUGUUCAUUCAUACUCCAUUUCCAUAUAUGCACAGCAUGGCAAGUGAGAAUUGAAUUCGUUCUCUUCUCACUCGCCGCGCUGAUGUUUACGCUUGUUUGUUUGACAAAUCAUAUUUUCCAUAAUUCAAUCAAAACUUUUAACAACGGAUCUCUUGGCUCUUGCAUCGAUGAAGAACGCAGC